rnacentral:lncRNA from 1 species
AAGAGCUGGAGUUACAUUGCGCAGGUCUGAGUGUUGAUGGCUUCAGAUACCUAAUACAGCCAGUGGAGCAGGCAGAUUAGACCAGAGCUCCAAACUAACAACCAUCAUGUGUGACCAAAACAACCAAGAUGGUUCCUGUAAAGACAACAAUCAACAGGAAGACCCUGCUUCCAGACCUGAGCAGCAGUUACCCAUGAGAGACAUCUACUGCAUUCUGCAUGAAGAAUAUAAUCCAAGCAUGUCAUCCGCAUCAGAUUUUCUUCUUGCCAUGAUAGAAUCCCUCACUGACUACAUCUUGACACUGAUGAGAUGCCUGGGCCCAGGAAGAACGGCUGAAAAUUGACUCACAGAGCACAGUGGGAAGCCUCAGAGGCUUAGCCAGAGCCACAGUGUCUCCGUGAAAAAGAGGCCCCACUGUUGUCAUCAACAAUGAUAAUGAAGGCUUCAAGUGCAUGGC